rnacentral:rRNA from 1 species
CGUGGGUAACCUGCCUCAUACAGGGGGAUAGCAGCUGGAAACGGCUGAUAAAACCGCAUAAGCGCACAGCAUCGCAUGAUGCAGUGUGAAAAACUCCGGUGGUAUGAGAUGGACCCGCGUCUGAUUAGCUGGUUGGUGAGGUAACGGCCCACCAAGGCGACGAUCAGUAGCCGGCCUGAGAGGGUGACCGGCCACAUUGGGACUGAGACACGGUCCAG